GCUGUGUGUUACAAGGUGUCACACGGAACUGCCGGUCAUAAACCGGAGGAAGUGGGAUGACGUCAAGUCAGCAUGGCCUUUAUAUCCUGGGCUACACACACGCUACAAUGGGAAGGGACAAUAGGUUGCGAAGCCGCGAGGCGGAGCCAAUCCAGCAAAACUUCCCUCAGUUCAGAUUGCAGGCUGCAACCCGCCUGCAUGAAGUUGGAGUUGCUAGUAAACGCAGGUCAGCCAUACUGCGUUGAAUACGUUCCCGGGGCUU
rnacentral:rRNA from 1 species